rnacentral:snRNA from 1 species
GUGCUCACUUCGGCAGCACAUAUACUAAAAUUGGAAUGACAGAGAGAAGAUUAGCAUAGCCCCUGCACAGAUAAUAUGUUAUUAUUGAAAAUUAAAAGAAGCCA